GUGGAAUCGGAGGGGCGGGAGGCUGAAGGAGAGGAGGAGCAGGAGGCUGAAGGAGAGAAGGAGCAGGAGGAGGAAGGAGAUAAGAGAGUGGAGGGGUCGGAGAAGACGGCGGUGGAGAAGGAGAUGGAGAAGGGAACAGAGAGGGAGGAGAUAGAGAAGACGGAGGUGGAGAAGAAAGAGACAGAAAGGAAGGAGACUGGGAAGACGGCGGUGGAGAAGAAAGAGAUAGAAAGGAAGGAGAGAGGGAAGAAGGUGGUGGAGGAGAAAGAGACAGAAAGGAAGGAGAGAGGGAAGAAGGUGGUGGAGGAGAAAGAGACAGAAAGGAAGGAGACAGGGAAGAAGGUGGUGGAGGAGAAAGAGACAGAAAGGAAGGAGACAGGGAAGAAGGUGGUGGAGAAGAAAGAGACAGAAAGGAAGGAGACAGGGAAGAAGGUGGUGGAGAAGAAAGAGACAGAAAGGAAGGAGACAGGGAAGAAGGUGGUGGAGAAGAAAGAGACAGAAAGGGAGGAGAAAGAGAAGGCAGUGGUGGCGGGACCAGUAGGAGAAGGAGUGAAG
rnacentral:lncRNA from 1 species